rnacentral:ncRNA from 14 species
UGGGGCGUCGCCAAGUGGUAAGGCUGCAGGUUUUGGUCCUGUUAUUCGGAGGUUCGAAUCCUUCCGUCCCAG